AGUGGGAAGCUGGAUCAGCGGAGACCUCGAUGUGCGGUUAGGCCAGGAGCGGUCACAGCUUCAUUCAUUGUGCAGCUACCAGGGUGGCAGCCUCCUCCCUCCACCCCUCCCAGCAAUGAAAGGACAGCGUGUGGUGAAAGAACCAUCACAAGAACUGCAGCCAUGGGUCCUCCCUCUAUAUCAGGGCUUUACUGUGAACCACUAAUGUGCCAGGUACCAUGUGUGGAGGCACUGGCCCAAAGAUGAAGAUGAGGUUUCUCUCCUUGAGAAGUACAGUGUGGGAGACAGACAGCUUGGAUCUCCAGUAUAAUGUUGAAUAGAAGUAAUAAUAGAGACAUUCUUGUCUUGGUUUUAGUAUCAGGAGGAAAUCUUUUAGUAUUUCACUAGUAAUUAUCAUAUUUGAUGUGGUGGGGGCCCUGCACAGGUGUGUGAUCCUUUGAGGAGAACAUCUCCAUAAGGAGAAUGACCUGACCUGCGGCACUGGAGCCUGAAUGGGGUGUCCUGCUAAGAGAAAGGCAGUGGCUCCUGCAUUAUAGGCAGACUUGAGAGACGCAGAGGAAAAGGUGAUGUGAAGACAGAGGCAGAGAUUGGAGUGAUAUGUCUACAAGCAAUGGAGCUCCAAGGAUUGACACAGUCAUCAGAAGCUUAGGAGAAAGGCAUGGGAUGGAUUCUGCCUCAGAGCCUUCCAAAGGAACAAAACCUGCCAACACCUGGAUUCUGGACUAUGAGAGAAAUUCUUAAUUAUUUCAGGCCACCACAUUUGUGGUAAUUUGUUACAGUGACCCCAGAAAACUAAUACAGCCACUAAGUCCAAAUGAAAUAUUAUCCCAAUUUUAUCUUGACCCCAGGAACUGUCAUAGCAUUUCAACAUCCUCUGCAUAAGGAAACAGGUAACAAAGGGGGAGUUGGAAUGGAAACAGCAUCUUAACCAAUUUUGG
ensembl:lncRNA